rnacentral:piRNA from 1 species
UAACCUAGAGAAAAACUUGAGACUUGCCUC